GAAUUGGCGUUGAAUGGGGCUGAUGGAGAUGGGAGUGGAGGGUCGCCUACUAGAUCUACACCUCACAUGUUCUGCAAAACACUCACAGCGUCUGACACGAGCACCCAUGGAGGAUUCUCUGUUCCUCGCAGAGCUGCUGAAGACUGUUUCCCUCCUCUGGAUUACACUCAGCUUAGGCCAUCUCAAGAGCUAAUAGCCAAGGACCUGCAUGGCGUGG
rnacentral:misc_RNA from 1 species